rnacentral:rRNA from 1 species
UUGCACGCUGGCGGCAGGCCUAACACAUGCCAGUCGAGCGGAUGAAGGGAGCUUGCUCCUGGAUUCAGCGGCGGACGGGUGAGUAAUGCCUAGGAAUCUGCCUGGUAUUGGGGGAUAACGUCCGGAAACGGGCGCUAAUACCGCAUACGUCCUGAGGGAGAAAGUGGGGGAUCUUCGGACCUCACGCUAUCAGAUGAGCCUAGGUCGGAUUAGCUAGUUGGUGGGGUAAAGGCCUACCAAGGCGACGAUCCGUAACUGGUCUGAGAGGAUGAUCAGUCACACUGGAACAGGUGCCUGGUCCAUACUCCUACGGGAGGCAACAGUGGUAAAUAUUGGACGAUGGGCGAAAGCCUGAUCCAGCCAAGCCGCGUGUGUGAAGAAGGUCUUCGGAUUGUAGAGCACUAUGUGUUGGGAGGAAGGGCAGUGAGUUAAUACCUUGCUGUUCUGACGUUACCAACAGAAUAAGCACCGGCUAACUUCGUG